rnacentral:rRNA from 1 species
UUAAGCGACUAAGCGUACACGGUGGAUGCCCUGGCAGUCAGAGGCGAUGAAGGACGUGCUAAUCUGCGAAAAGCGUCGGUAAGGUGAUAUGAACCGUUACAGCCGGCGAUGUCCGAAUGGGGAAACCCAGUGUGAUUCGUCACACUAUCGUUAACUGAAUACAUAGGUUAACGAGGCGAACCGGGGGAACUGAAACAUCUAAGUACCCCGAGGAAAAGAAAUCAACCGAGAUUCCCCCAGUAGCGGCGAGCGAACGGGGAGCAGCCCAGAGUCUGAAUCAGCUUGUGUGUUAGUGGAACGGUCUGGAAAGUCCGACGGUACAGGGUGAUAGUCCCGUACACCAAAAUGCACAGGCUGUGAACUCGAAGAGUAGGGCGGGACACGUGGUAUCCUGUCUGAAUAUGGGGGGACCAUCCUCCAAGGCUAAAUACUCCUGACUGACCGAUAGUGAACCAGUACCGUGAGGGAAAGGCGAAAAGAACCCCGGCGAGGGGAGUGAAAAAGAACCUGAAACCGUGUACGUACAAGCAGUGGGAGCACCUUCGGGUGUGACUGCGUACCUUUUGUAUAAUGGGUCAGCGACUUAUAUUCUGUAGCAAGGUUAACCGUAUAGGGGAGCCGCAGGGAAACCGAGUCUUAACUGGGCGUUAAGUUGCAGGGUAUAGACCCGAAACCCGGUGAUCUAGCCAUGGGCAGGUUGAAGGUUGGGUAACACUAACUGGAGGACCGAACCGACUAAUGUUGAAAAAUUAGCGGAUGACUUGUGGCUGGGGGUGAAAGGCCAAUCAAACCGGGAGAUAGCUGGUUCUCCCCGAAAGCUAUUUAGGUAGCGCCUCGUGAACUCAUCUUCGGGGGUAGAGCACUGUUUCGGCUAGGGGGUCAUCCCGACUUACCAACCCGAUGCAAACUACGAAUACCGAAGAAUGUUAUCACGGGAGACACACGGCGGGUGCUAACGUCCGUCGUGAAGAGGGAAACAACCCAGACCGCCAGCUAAGGUCCCAAAGUCAUGGUUAAGUGGGAAACGAUGUGGGAAGGCACAGACAGCCAGGAUGUUGGCUUAGAAGCAGCCAUCAUUUAAAGAAAGCGUAAUAGCUCACUGGUCGAGUCGGCCUGCGCGGAAGAUGUAACGGGGCUAAACCAUGCACCGAAGCUGCGGCAGCGACACUAUGUGUUGUUGGGUAGGGGAGCGUUCUGUAAGCCUGCGAAGGUGUGCUGUGAGGCAUGCUGGAGGUAUCAGAAGUGCGAAUGCUGACAUAAGUAACGAUAAAGCGGGUGAAAAGCCCGCUCGCCGGAAGACCAAGGGUUCCUGUCCAACGUUAAUCGGGGCAGGGUGAGUCGACCCCUAAGGCGAGGCCGAAAGGCGUAGUCGAUGGGAAACAGGUUAAUAUUCCUGUACUUGGUGUUACUGCGAAGGGGGGACGGAGAAGGCUAUGUUAGCCGGGCGACGGUUGUCCCGGUUUAAGCAUGUAGGCUGGUUAUCCAGGCAAAUCCGGAUAAUCAAGGCUGAGGUGUGAUGACGAGGCACUACGGUGCUGAAGUAACAAAUGCCCUGCUUCCAGGAAAAGCCUCUAAGCAUCAGGUAACAUCAAAUCGUACCCCAAACCGACACAGGUGGUCAGGUAGAGAAUACCAAGGCGCUUGAGAGAACUCGGGUGAAGGAACUAGGCAAAAUGGUGCCGUAACUUCGGGAGAAGGCACGCUGGUGUGUAGGUGAAGUCCCUGCGGAUGGAGCUGAGACCAGUCGAAGAUACCAGCUGGCUGCAACUGUUUAUUAAAAACACAGCACUGUGCAAACACGAAAGUGGACGUAUACGGUGUGACGCCUGCCCGGUGCCGGAAGGUUAAUUGAUGGGGUUAUCCGUAAGGAGAAGCUCUUGAUCGAAGCCCCGGUAAACGGCGGCCGUAACUAUAACGGUCCUAAGGUAGCGAAAUUCCUUGUCGGGUAAGUUCCGACCUGCACGAAUGGCGUAAUGAUGGCCAGGCUGUCUCCACCCGAGACUCAGUGAAAUUGAACUCGCUGUGAAGAUGCAGUGUACCCGCGGCAAGACGGAAAGACCCCGUGAACCUUUACUAUAGCUUGACACUGAACAUUGAGCCUUGAUGUGUAGGAUAGGUGGGAGGCUUUGAAGCGUGGACGCCAGUCUGCGUGGAGCCAACCUUGAAAUACCACCCUUUAAUGUUUGAUGUUCUAACGUUGGCCCCUUACCGGGGUUGCGGACAGUGUCUGGUGGGUAGUUUGACUGGGGCGGUCUCCUCCCAAAGCGUAACGGAGGAGCACGAAGGUUAGCUAAUCCUGGUCGGACAUCAGGAGGUUAGUGCAAUGGCAUAAGCUAGCUUGACUGCGAGCGUGACGGCGCGAGCAGGUGCGAAAGCAGGUCAUAGUGAUCCGGUGGUUCUGAAUGGAAGGGCCAUCGCUCAACGGAUAAAAGGUACUCCGGGGAUAACAGGCUGAUACCGCCCAAGAGUUCAUAUCGACGGCGGUGUUUGGCACCUCGAUGUCGGCUCAUCACAUCCUGGGGCUGAAGUAGGUCCCAAGGGUAUGGCUGUUCGCCAUUUAAAGUGGUACGCGAGCUGGGUUUAGAACGUCGUGAGACAGUUCGGUCCCUAUCUGCCGUGGGCGCUGGAGAAUUGAGGGGGGCUGCUCCUAGUACGAGAGGACCGGAGUGGACGCAUCACUGGUGUUCGGGUUGUCAUGCCAAUGGCACUGCCCGGUAGCUAAAUGCGGAAGAGAUAAGUGCUGAAAGCAUCUAAGCACGAAACUUGCCCCGAGAUGAGUUCUCCCUGAGACUUUAAGUCUCCUGAAGGAACGUUGAAGACGACGACGUUGAUAGGCCGGGUGUGUAAGCGCAGCGAUGCGUUGAGCUAACCGGUACUAAUGAACCGUGAGGCUUAACCUU